GUCCAUACUGGUUUAUACUGGUCCAUAUUGGUCCAUACUGGUCCAUACUGGUCCCUUCCCCCUACAGCCGCGGUGACCUGGGCCUGGAGCGCAACGGGGCCGUGACCCUGAGGUGAGCACCACGACCCCUAAUAACCCCUUGACCUUUGACCCCUUGACCCCAACCCCUUAACCCCUUGCCCCCUUGCCCCCUUGACCUUGACCCCUGGUGACCUUUGACCCCUGGUGACCUUUGCCCUUUUGACCCCAGGUGCCCGGUGAUGCUGGUGGUGGGCGCCGCCUCCCCCCACGAGGACGCCGUGGUCGAGUGCAACGCCAAGCUGGACCCCACCCAGACCUCCUUCCUCAAGGUUCGGGGCGAUUUUGGGGGGGUCCCAGCCAAUUUUGGGGGGUCCGCGAAGGCAUUUUGGGGCAAAAGAGGCCGUUUUGGGGUGCGGGAGGCCGUUUUGGGGCAAAAUGGGCCAUUUUAGGGCAAAAUGGGCUGUUUUAGGGCAAAAGAGGCUGUUUUAGGGCAAAAGAGGCCGUUUUUGGGACACAAGAGGCCACAUUUUGGGGCACGGGAAGGUAUUUUGGGGCGUGGGAGGCCCUUUUGGGACAAAGGAUGGGAUUUUGGGGCAAAAGAGGCUGUUUUGGGGUGUGGGAGGCCAGUUUGUGGGCCUUGGAGGCCAUUUUGGGGCAAAAAAGCCCGGUUUUGGUGCUAUUUCGGGGGUGCGCUGUCCCAAAACGCCGUUACAAGACCUUCCAAAAUUCCCAUCGCACCUUCAACCCAAACCAACCCAAAUGAACCCCAAAUCACCCCAAAUCAACCCAGAUCACCCCAAAAUCAACCCAAAAUCUACCCAAAAUCAACCCAAAUCAACCCAAAAUCAACUCAAAUGAACCCAAAUGAACCCAAAAUCAACCCAAACCACCCCAAAAUCAGCCCAAAAUCAACCCAAAUCAAUCCAAAUCUACCCAAAAUCUACCCAAAAUCACCCCAAAUCACCCCAAAUCACCCCAAAUCACCCCAAAUCACCCCAAAUCACCCCAAAUCAACCGAAAUAAACCCAAAUCAACCCAAAAUCAACCCCAAAUCACCCCAAAUCAACCCAAAUAGACCCAAAACCAACCCAAAUCAACCCAAAUGAACCCCAAAUCACCCCAAACGAACCCCAAAUCCACCCAAAAUCCACCCAAAAUCACCCCAAAAUCACCCCAAAGGAACCCAAAUCAACCCAAAAUCAACCCAAAAUCACCCAAAAUCAACCCAAAAUCAACCCAACUCUACCCAAAAUGAACCCAAAUCAACCCCAAAUCAACCCAAAUCUACCCGAAUCUACCCAAAAUCAACCCAAAUCACCCCCAAAUCAACCCAAAAUCUACCCAAAAUCACCCAAAAUCACCCAAAAUCAAACAAAAAUCCCCCAAAUCAACCCAAAUCUACCCAAAAUCAACCCAAAUCAAUCCAAAAUCACCCCAAAAUCAGCCCAAAUUCACCCCAAAUCCCCCCAAAUCCCCCCAAAUCCCCCCUGCCCUAAGCCCCGCCCCCUCGUUGCAGAUGGCCGACGGAGGGGGGCAGCCGCAGCUCAGCCAGGUGAGGUCAAAGGUCACCUAAAUUUGGGGUCAAAGGUCACCCAGGGGUCACGGGGGGGUCAAAGGUCAGCCAGGGGUCGCGGGGGGUCAGGGUGGGGUCAAAGGUCACGGGGGGUCAAGG
rnacentral:lncRNA from 1 species